GCCGGAGUUUACAGAGUAUAGCAGAGUACAAUUUGAGUUCAGAGAAAUUGUUAAUUCUGGUAAUUUAUACAAUUCUUGCUAUGAAAUUGAAGGAUUGUAUCUUGAUUUUGUAGCAAAAGAGAAAAGUGCGCGUAAUAAACAAUGGGCUAUUGGACCAUUAAACCCUGUGAAACAGUUUGAUAAAAAAAAUUCAUUAAUUUCGCAUAAAUGUAUGAAUUGGCUUGAUGAACAAGAACCAAA
rnacentral:misc_RNA from 1 species